AAAGUUCACUUGUCCAAUAACGAUGAAUAUAGCAGCUUAUAUAGCAGAUAUAACACAGUGAGAAGAAAUAAUACACGCCUAUAUAUAGAGAGACAGUUAUACUGUUUAUAGACGACAAACAACUGGGCAACAAUACGACAUGAAUUAUAAAUUUCGUAGUGAAUCUUAGAUUUAUAUCUUCGCUUGUUGUAAAGAACUCAAGAUGGAGACGGUGAUCAUACCACCCAAUGAGAGUAAACCGGAUGCUCCACCAGAAGCUCCACCUGAUCAUAUUCUGUUUUCAUUGAUUUCCACCCUGUUCUUUUUACCUCUUGGCAUCGCCGCCAUAUUAAAAGGCGUUAAGGUGAGAAAGGCGAUUAAACUAAACGAUUUUACUACAGCUGAAUACGCCUCGGCGAAAGCUGCAAAAUUCGCCAUGUCUGGGGUCGCUCUAGGAACACUCAUGGGAGCUUUGGUCGCGUGCGUAAUAAUAGUACAAACCAACCAAAAACCUUAAAUACCCUGUUGACGUCACAGUGCCAUUGACAACACGAUGACAAUUACAGAUCGGAUGUAUAGGUGAUAAACUUUUAUAAAAGUGAAUGUACUGCGGUUAGAUGUGAAAUUUUAAACGGAUUUUUAGUGAUAUACUGUUUUGAAAUCCAAUAUUUUCUUUACCCAGUGACUGAGGUAAUAGGUAUAUGAAGCUGAAUACGCGCGAUCUUUGUUGAUGUUUUUGUGCAAUAUGUAUAUAAUUUUGAACGGGCCAACAAAUGAAUUAACGGCCCAAUUGGUCAGUUAUUGACGCCAUUCCUUGUUACUUGGAAUACAUAAUAUAUAAUUUAUUAUUUAAUUUUAAAAUAACAUCCAGGUAACCAACUGAACUCAAGAAAUGUUGACUUACAAAUUCUUUAAUAUUCAUUUAAUAAUGGACAUUUCUUCAAUUUUAUGGAUAAUACAAGUACAUGUACUGAGUUUAUUACUAUGUGACGUCUUCAUUAUCCCAGUCGAAACAGAACAGUAGGACGUUAAACCCCAUUUCAUAUCAUUUCAUUCCUUGAUUAUGAAGACGAGAGUUUCUUCAAAACGCCGCAUGAUAAUAAACCCAGUCAUUGUGUAUUCAUUAAAUUAUACUUUGUGUUAAAGAAAUGUUCCUUAUAUCAUACAUAGGUUGGCAAUUGGACAGUUAGUAGUUAGUCUCGUAAGAUUGUAUUGUUGAUUAGUCGAAAUGUAAAUGAAUUGUUAAAGAUACAUUAUGAGAGAUUAGAUAAAGAGCUGGUAGUUCUCACUAUGAUAGUUAAAAACUAGAUAAUGUUAAGGGAAUGUGCUGAAGAUUUCAGUCAAAUUGCUUCACUCUGAACCAAGAUAUUAGCGAUUGAUUUUUCGACCUAGACUCGGUCAUCAUUACUAAAGUCGGUACUAUAAAAAAAACAUAGCCUCGAUUAUCCAUUUUGAUUGAUUUAAUCAUCAAUGGGCGUUGAGCAGCAGAUUGGAUUCAAAUCCAAUGACAGUCCGACACAUAAGAUGCUAUCGAGGGUUGAUUAAGGUCUUUUCAUGUUAAUAAAUGUCUAAUUAAUAGUUUAUAUAACAUUUCAGGCCUAAAGAAAGACCCGCAAUAGGCAGAUUUAGCUCUUGCAUAAUGUUUGUUUAAAAUAUCGUAUUGUUGAUAACUCGAAAUAUGAAUAUAAAUGCAAGCACUAUGAAUUUAGAAGUGUAAAUUAAUUAUGUUAUUUUCAGAUAUUAAGAUGCUUUGUUAUUAAAAUUUUAUAAUGGAAAUAGGCAAUAAAUAUGUUACAUAUUA